GAUGAAGAACGCAGCGAAAUGCGAUAAGUAAUGUGAAUUGCAGAAUUCAGUGAAUCAUCGAAUCUUUGAACGCACAUUGCGCCCGCCAGCAUUCUGGCGGGCAUGCCUGUUCGAGCGUCAUUUCAACCCUCAAGCUCUGCUUGGUGUUGGGGCCCUACGGUUGACGUAGGCCCUUAAAGGUAGUGGCGGACCCUCUCGGAGCCUCCUUUGCGUAGUAACUAACGUCUCGCACUGGGAUUCGGAGGGACUCUUGCCGUAAAACCCCCACAUUUUUAAAGGUUGACCUCGGAUCAGGUAGGAAUACCCGCUGAACUUAAGCAUAUCAAUAAGCGGAGGA
rnacentral:misc_RNA from 1 species